CUACGGGCGCAGCAGUGAGGAAUAUUGCACAAUGGGGGGAACCCUGAUGCAGCAACGCCGCGUGGAGGAUGACGCAUUUCGGUGUGUAAACUCCUUUUAUAUGUCAAGAAAAUGACGGUAGCAUAUGAAUAAGCACCGGCUAACUCCGUGCCAGCAGCCGCGGUAAUACGGAGGGUGCAAGCGUUACUCGGAAUCACUGGGCGUAAAGGACGCGUAGGCGGGCUUGUAAGUCAGGUGUGAAAUCCUACAGCUUAACUGUAGAACUGCACUUGAAACUACGAGCCUAGAGUAUGGGAGGGGGAGAUGGAAUUAGUGGUGUAGGGGUAAAAUCCGUAGAUAUCACUAGGAAUACCUAAAGCGAAGGCGAUCUCCUGGAACAUAACUGACGCUAAGGCGUGAAAGCGUGGGGAGCAAACAGGAUUAGAUACCCGGGUAGUC
rnacentral:rRNA from 1 species